AGAUAGAGUUUGAUCCUGGCUCAGGAUUAACGCUGGCGGCGUGCAUGAGACAUGCAAGUCGAACGGACGAUCGGGCUUGCUCGAUCGUUAGUGGCGGACGGCUGAGUAACGCGUGGGUGACCUGCCCCGAAGUGGGGAAUAACUGCCCGAAAGGGUGGCUAAUACCGCAUGUGGUGACUGGUUCAUUCCAGUCUCCAAAGCCGCAAGGCGCUUCGGGAGGGGCCUGCGUCCGAUUAGCUCGUUGGUGGGGUAACGGCUCACCAAGGCGACGAUCGGUAGGUGGUCUGAGAGGACGAUCACCCAGACUGGGACUGAGACACGGCCCAGACUCCUACGGGAGGCAGCAGUCGGGAAUUUUGCUCAAUGGGCGAAAGCCUGAAGCAGCAACGCCGCGUGAGGGAUGACGGCCUUCGGGUUGUAAACCUCUUUUCUCAGGGACGAUAAUGACGGUACCUGAGGAAUAAGCCACGGCUAACUACGUGCCAGCAGCCGCGGUAAUACGUAGGUGGCGAGCGUUAUCCGGAUUUACUGGGCGUAAAGAGCGCGCAGGCGGUCGUGCAAGUCGGAUGUGAAAGCCCCCGGCUCAACUGGGGAAAGUCAUUCGAUACUGCUCGACUUGAAGGCGGGAGAGGGAAGCGGAAUUCCCGGUGUAGUGGUGAAAUACGUAGAUAUCGGGAGGAACACCAGUGGCGAAGGCGGCUUCCUGGCCCGUUCUUGACGCUGAGGCGCGAAAGCUAGGGGAGCAAACGGGAUUAGAUACCCUGGUAGUCC
rnacentral:rRNA from 1 species